GUCGUCGUAGCUCAGUUGGUAGAGAACUAGACUGUAAAUCUAUGUCUGUGCUUCGAAUUGUGGCUACG